rnacentral:rRNA from 1 species
GACGAACGCUGGCGGCGUGCUUAACACAUGCAAGUCGAACGGAAAGGCCCUGCUUUUGUGGGGUGCUCGAGUGGCGAACGGGUGAGUAACACAUGAGUAACCUGCCCUUGACUUUGGGAUAACUUCAGGAAACUGGGGCUAAUACCGGAUAGGAGCUCCUGCUGCAUGGUGGGGGUUGGAAAGUUUCGGCGGUUGGGGAUGGACUCGCGGCUUAUCAACUUGUUGGUGGGGUAGUGGCUUACCAAGGCUUUGACGGGUAGCCGGCCUGAGAGGGUGACCGGCCACAUUGGGACUGAGAUACGGCCCAGACUCCUACGGGAGGCAGCAGUGGGGAAUAUUGCACAAUGGGCGGAAGCCUGAUGCAGCAACGCCGCGUGCGGGAUGACGGCCUUCGGGCUGUAAACCGCUUUCGCCUGUGACGAAGCGUGAGUGACGGUAAUGGGUAAAGAAGCACCGGCUAACUACGUG